AAACUCCUUUGCAUUCUCAUCCAGUUCCUUCUGUGUAUUUUGAUUGAGGGGGUUUACUUGAUCUCUGGUCAAUGCUUCUUUGUAUCUUCCAUUGUGGUUAUGUACUCCAUUGACAUCUCCUUCUUGAUGCGAACUGAUAUUUUCAUUACCAUGUACUUGAUCUUCUCGCGGUGAAUCUAUGUUACUUGGAAGAUCACUGUGUUCUACAUUGAUUGGUGAUAAAAUAGACGAACCAGGUGGACUGAUAAGAACCACUCUCAUCUUAUUUUCUUGAACAUAUUUGCCAUCAUCUUUCGAAAACAUGGCUGACGUAAU
rnacentral:misc_RNA from 1 species